rnacentral:lncRNA from 1 species
CAACAUAGUCGAUAGAAUUAUAAUGAUUCCCUUGGGGCUAACAGUAUGAAUUAAUUUUAAAAUGGAAAUUUGAAAAAAAAAAUAAAAUGGAAAUUUGAAACAUUUAGAACUGGAAAGAUGGUUAUUAGUGAACUAGUCCAAACUCUGCAUUUUGAAAAAAAAAAUAUUUUAAAGAAUGGACACAAAAAAGAAUUAUCCUACUAUGUUAAGAAUAUUGCCAGACUCAAAUAAGAAUGUGAAUAAAAGCUCCACAAAACAGGCCAGAUGGAGCAAUCCUAGAACAGAGAAAGAACCCUGAACCUGAAGUCAGACAACCUGAGUUUCCUUCUAGCUUCUGCAUCUUAUGAUUCUAUUUGGCAGAAGUUCCCAGCUGACUAUCACUGCAGAGGUUUCCAAACACUAGAAAAUAUGAUUAUUUCAACACACAAAGCAGUGGUCUAAUGCCCUCUGGGCAUCUUGGUUGUCCACCUCAGGAUAGUAAAGAAAAUACUGGGUCUGCUUCUUGGAAAGCUGAAAUUCAAACAAUACGUAUAUUAGUCAAGGUUCCCCAGAGGAUUUAUUAUGGAAAUCGGC